CCACAGAGGUGGGUGGGAUUUCUGAGCUGACCGAAGCCUGCGACUGGUGGAGCUUUGGGUCUCUGCUGUAUGAACUGCUGACGGGAACGCUGCACCCUUCUGGAGCACAGAGAGGUCCUACCUUCUUCCCUCACCACAGCCCUGCCUUGGCCCUGGCAGUAGGACGCCAUGUCAAAUGAGUCGCAAAUUUUUUUUCUGUAAGGAGACAAGUUUCAGUGCUAUUCCUGAUAGAGUGCCUGCCCUGACUGCAACCCAAGACCGAUGUUUCCAGCAAGCUUGGAGCCAGAGGGACCUGGGUUCAAACCCUGAACUCAGCACAAAUCCCUUGACCUCUCUGAGCCUGCUUCUUGUCUUUAAAAUGGGGGUAGUAAUACUUACUCUGAAGGUUGUUGUGGAAAUUACGGAUAAUGGGUCUCAGGCAUCUUCCGCAGCCUGACAUGCAGUAGAUCCAAAGCAAGAGGCAACAAGCAGCAGCAUCACCAUCCCCAUGAGAUGUGACACAGGGGGAAAAAGAUAAAACCUGGCCGCCACUGGAGUGUACAGACCCUCCUGGGGUCGCCCCCAUGUGUCUUCCCAGGCGCUGUCCCAGAGCCACCCCUCAGGAAUCCAACCCCACACCCAGCUCCAGCUGCCCGAGUGGCUCAGUCGCCCCGCAGCCUCCCUGCUGACUGAGCUGCUGAAGUUUGAGCCCGCCGGGCGCCUGGGCGCUGGAGGCGGCGGUGUCAACAAACUCAAGUCCCACCCCUUUUUCAGCACCAUCCAGUGGAGCAAACUGGUGGGGUAACCGGAGGGGGUGGAGUAGGCAGUGGAAGCAGCUGGACUGGUCUGGAUCUCCUCUCUUCUCUUUGCCUGCCACCCAGAGCUGGCCAUUCUAAUCAGCGGCCCUCGGGCAAAGAAUGAAAGGCAGCUUGCCUUUCCUGGUCGGGCCCCUCCCUUGGGCCUCAGAAGUCUCUUCACUGACCAGGAAGGGCCUACGGAGUCCCCCAGCCACGUCCUGGAGAAACCCUUCCUAGAUGGUGCUGAGCGGGAGGGAGAGAGAGAUCUCAGCCUGUUAGGCAGCUUGAACCCCUCCACCCAUCAGUCAACAGUCACCUGCUGAGUGCACACCCUGGACUUGAACUUGGACCUACCAUGUUAAAAGGUGCCUUCCUUUGCAUUAGCUCUGAGCUACUGACCACCUGCUGAGCCGUGAAAUUUUGUGACUCAUUAUCUGCCAUGUGCCCCACUCGGGAUGUCUCUGGAGACUCACCUCAGGAUACUAGUCCACCGGCUUAGUGGUCCCAAACCAGGGCUGCCCUGGCUGGUCAUCUUAACCAUGCAACUAGUGGGCCUCUUCCACCAGAGGCUACUUUUGCAGGGGGUCGGGAGGCUGGGGAAGCAGGGAAGAAGUCUGUAGUGGGCAUGGGGUGGGGUGAGGGAAUGGGACGAGACAACCCAUUCCCCCCUCCUGACCAUGCCCCUUAUCUUGUGAUUACAGACUUUGGAGAGCAAAAGGAAAGGAGGGGAGGAAGAUAAGGAUAAAGAGGAAUGGGGGGAGAGAGGAAGGCACAGCUCUGCCACUUAGAGAAAUUUUGGAAACAAAGAGCUCCCUUCCCCGGCUAGCCCACCCAUGUGGAGAGAAAGGAAAACCUGCCCCAUGGGUCUGAGGGGAGAUCGCCAAUCAGUUUCCAGGCUGAAGCCACUUGAAGAAAAGUUGUACCCACUAGGACUCCCUUCUCGGACGUUCGUCCUGUUUACCAUUUUGCAUUUUAGUCUUGAGGGUCCACUCAAUCCACUGCCCACUGUGACUUCAUAUCCUUUUGAAAUGAAACCACAAAACACAUGGAAUGAUGGCCCAAGCUUUUAGCCGGAAGCAAAAUGUUUCUGGUCUCGGAAGAACUGGGGUAAGUAGUUAUCCCCAAAGACAAUUCCCUCCCCAGAUUUGGGGGCCUUCUUCCUCUCAGGACUCACCCUGUCACUGGGGUGUGGCAUCUAAGACAAACUUCCACAGAUCUCCACCAACUCCUUCCCGCCUGCGUCUCCGGCACCACCAGGUGGCGCCUCUGACACCACCCUCCAGUCUGGCUGUGAAGGCCCAGCUCUAAAUCUGGGGCUGGGGACCUGUUGUGGGCAUGGCGCGAAGCUCCUCAGGCCCUCUGGACGCGUCUGGGGGACGUGGGAGGUGCAGCCUUUGGAAGGUCCUGGCUCUCCCUGGGGCUUGCCCACGUCCCUCCACCCCGACUCCAAUAAAGCCUGCUGUUGCCUCUGG